rnacentral:lncRNA from 1 species
UUGUUCUUUCAUCCUAUUUCAUCCUAUCUUUCUCUAUCUUGCUGCUUCUAGGCCAGAGAGGGCUCAGGUAGCCCUUACUGCAGGAGGAAGUAUCUCCACAGUGUUGUUGUGGAAUAAAGGAAUAAUUCUUUUCCCUCAGCUGAAAGAAGUAGCCCCACACACCAGUGAAGGUGACACUUCAUCUUCCAUCAAAUCUGCCCCUAGGAACAGCUUUUGCAGAAUGGCUCUUCUGUUUGCAUUAAUAUUGACUUGAGACAUCAUGGCCCUAGCUGCAUGGAACAUGUGUACACUGCGCACCUCGCUUCAGAAGGAGACAGCCUUCUUGCUUACCUGCUCUGUUCUAUGUUGCAUUCUUUCAUCAAGGGACUCAGCACAACUUUCUAACUUUUUCUUGUCUGCUGGACUAAUAGGAAUAAGAAAAGAGAAUGUUGCUUUUUGGUGACAGAAAAAUGAGAAACCCCAUAGGUAAGUGAAAAGAACUGCUGUCUGUGACAAAGGCUAGGAGAGGGCAAAUGGAGGAAGAAUGGGAGAGAGUGGAAAAAACUCUACUAGAUUCAGCCUUCAGUCAUUGGCCUUUCAUGGCUGAUGAUGGCCCAGAAUUAGGUGUAGCCUCUGUAAAGCCUUCUAGAUUACAGCUUUUUCUGUUGCCAUGGUAAUUUUUUUCACUUUUUUUUUUCUCCUUACUGGGAAACUAUGAACAUUGCUUUGUGGUUUUGUGAAGUAAGGCUCCCUCUGCAGCAGCAGCAGCAGCAGCUUUAAAUUGCCUGGUUGGGCAAGAUAGAGGAAUGGUAAUGCCAAUUCUUAGUUCUGUGUGAUAGAAAUUUCUUUGAAUUCAAAUAGUUUCUAAAAGCUGAUGUUAUCUUUUUCAGCAUCCUUAGAGCUUUAAAGGUCACUGCUAUUAUCAAAAGCAUUUUUUUUGGCGCACCAAGAUAGCACUGCCUCUUCUGCUGGGUUGGAAAUUCCACAAUAAAAAUUGCUUGGUAUUUAUUGCAUGGAUGAGCUUAAUCCAAAUAUUAAAUCUUAUUCCCCCGUCUAACUUUGAAGACUCACUUCCAUAUUCUUAUGAUACUUUUCUUCCUGAGUAAUCAGAAGUAUUUUGAGCUCUACAGAAAUUAUUUGACACUCACUGUCAAAAUCCACUAGCUCUGUGUCAAGUUUGUACUUAGAAGCCAUUCAUUUCUAUCAUACUCACUUCAAACUCACUUUUGUGACCUUCUGAACAUGAAAGGCAGUCAGAUUUCCUCUCAAACUUCAAGGUUUUAAUUGCUUUCAUGCAGUAUCUGUCUCUAAACUCAG